rnacentral:rRNA from 1 species
AUCGUAAAGCUCUGUUGUUAGGGAAGAACAAGUGCCGUUCAAAUAGGGCGGCACCUUGACGGUACCUAACCAGAAAGCCACGGCUAACUACGUGCCAGCAGCCGCGGUAAUACGUAGGUGGCAAGCGUUGUCCGGAAUUAUUGGGCGUAAAGGGCUCGCAGGCGGUUUCUUAAGUCUGAUGUGAAAGCCCCCGGCUCAACCGGGGAGGGUCAUUGGAAACUGGGGAACUUGAGUGCAGAAGAGGAGAGUGGAAUUCCACGUGUAGCGGUGAAAUGCGUAGAGAUG